UACAGAGGUCUCAAGCGUUGUCCGGAAUUAUUGGGCGUAAAGAGCGCGUAGGCGGUCCGAUAAGUCGGCUGUGAAAGUCAGGGGCUCAACCCUUGGAAGCCGGCCGAUACUGUCGGACUAGAGUCCGGAAGAGGCGAGUGGAAUUCCCGGUGUAGCGGUGAAAUGCGCAGAUAUCGGGAGGAACACCAAUGGCGAAGGCAGCUCGCUGGGACGGUACUGACGCUGAGGCGCGAAAGCGUGGGGAGCAAACAGG
rnacentral:rRNA from 1 species